rnacentral:lncRNA from 1 species
GCUUCUUUAAAUCCUAUUUGUCCUUUUCAACUAGCUGCAGGUGCCUAUUUUAAGCUGUCUUAUGUUAGUCUGUGGCAUACAGUACAGUCUGACACACUGUGCACACGACAGUACAGACACAUAUACUUUGAUUCCCAGUUGUUUUUAUGUGUGAUAAAAACUGAAUUCUUCAUUUUAACUUACAGUUUCAUUUUGGGUCCAACUUCAGGAGCCGGAGUUGGAACAUCUGAAAACAUCACAAUGUCUUAUGACCGGAUUCUGUCCAUUGAAAAUCUGAGUGAUGUUCCAAAUCCAUGGAAGGGAUUCACUAUGAACCGCUGCGUAGUGCUGGCGCUGGUGGUACUGUUCGUGAGCUCUGGGGUCAAUGAGCUGCAUGGUGAGUACUGUAAUCAUAGUCACAUUACAGACAGACAGGAAACACACCUGAAAUUAAAUCCCAUGAGAAUGACAAAUAAACUGUAUAUAUAAUGUUGAGUGAAAGUUUUAUUGGGUUUGUUCCUGCAUUAGUAGUUGGAUACUAUACUUCAGUACUCGACUUAUUGUUUCCAUUUGAUUACUUUUAAUACUACACCUGUUGAUAUGUAAAAAGAAGUAUUUCUCAUCUUGUUUUUUACAUUAUGUUGUUUUCUAGAUGCUAUAGAUUCAUUCAUUGAAGAGACAGGUAUAAGGUCUUUCAUUGGGAGUCUGCAGGAUGGUUCAAUAACUCAGGUACUGUCUAUCUCCUUAACACUUGCUGGUAGCCGAGCUCUAAUUAAACUGUUCGAUUGACUUUUAUGUUUCAAUCUCAGUGAUACAAACCAGUGGAAGCCUUUGUUUAUGUCUCUCUGUGCAGGUAGUUGAAGAUACUGUAUACUGAAUGGUGGUUUUUGUUCUAGAUUAUUUACAGAAUAUGAAUGGGUUCGGUCCUGCACAAGGCUAAUAUCACAUUACCAAACCUUCUUCUCAUCAAGAUCCUGGAUAUUUGGAGAGGGUUUUGUCUGAAACUGGAAAUAAAGAGACUCUGAAGUGUCCAUUUGUUUGGCUGAGAAUUUAGACCGAACCCCCACUUACAGCUCAGAACAGGGAUAAGCACCAACAGGCUGCUCCACUCUCUUCGUUAUGUUACUACUUUAAACCACCAGUGUGCUGCCCACUUUACAAUGAGGCCUUUGGGCUUCAAAUAAUCCACCCACCUUCAUGAGCUGGACAAAAUUCAGUUUGUACUUGAUCUGAUGGACUUGGGGAGGGGUGGAAGGUGG